GCAGAACGCGAAGAACCUUACCAGGGCUUAAAUGCAGUCCGACAGGAUUGGAAACAGUCCUUUCUUCGGACGGAUUGCAAGGUGCUGCAUGGUUGUCGUCAGCUCGUGCCAUGAGGUGUCAGGUUAAGUCCUAUAACGAGCGCAACCCCUGCCGUUAGUUGCCAGCGAGUAAAGUCGGGAACUCUAGCGGGACUGCCGGUGCAAACCGUGAGGAAGGUGGGGAUGACGUCAAAUCAUCACGGCCCUUACGUCCUGGGCCACACACGUGCUACAAUGGCAGGUACAAUGGGCAGCCACUGCGCAAGCAGGCGCGAAUCCACAAAACCUGUCUCAGUUCGGAUCGGGGUCUGCAACUCGACCCCGUGAAGCUGGAAUCGCUAGUAAUCGGAUAUCAGCCAUGAUCCGGUGAAUACGUUCCCGGGUCUUGUACACACCG
rnacentral:rRNA from 1 species